GGUUUAAAAAACCCAGUUUGAGGUAAUUAUUGAAUUCUGAAGUCAAGCCUUCGGCUUUCAAAAUUUUGGAAUGAGGUUGGAAACGACUUCUAA
rnacentral:snRNA from 14 species